rnacentral:lncRNA from 1 species
AUAACUUCACAAUUAUAAAUUUUGGUGCACGGACGACUUGACAAAGUUGUUAAACAUGAAAACUUCAUCUCUAUUCUAUUUGCUUCUCACUCUUUUCCUUGUUUUCUCAUACGGUAUAUUAUUUAUUUCUCGCUCUUUUCUUUAUUUUCUCAUACGGUAUAUUAUCAUUUCUUUUCAUAGGGUAGUUAUAUUGAUAGUUGAAAGAACCAAAAUUUUGUCAUUCAAAUCAUCUAAGCCAUGUUUAGAUUGAAUGGUUAUAAGUGACAUUUUUUUUUUUUAAGUUUAUUGUGUGUUUAUAUAUAUUGAAUAUAUUGAAAUUUUUUAUCAAAGGGUAUAGGGUUUGAUUUUUGCAUUUAGAAGUAGAAAUGGUUAUUAUUGAUUUGUGAUUGGAUUUUAUAUAUGAUAAAUGUAAAUACUUUGUUAAAAAUAAAGAUAAUUUUGAUAUUUUCAAAAAUUUUAAUUAAAUAAAUAUCUAUUUCAUAGGUUUAAGGAAAAAAUAUAUAGGUCUGUUUGACAAUUGUUUUUGAAAAUAAUUUUUUAUUCUCCAAAAAAGGAAAAAAACAAAAAAAAAAUAUGUUUGAUCUUUAGAAAACGGAUUUCUAUUUUUUGUUGUUCUUAAAAACAUAAAACAUGGUAUUUGUAAUAUUUUUUAUUUGUUUUCAUUUAUUUUCACUUUUUUUUAAGACUGGUUUAAAAAAUAAUUAUAUAAAAAUAUAGAAUAAUUAAAAAUAAAGUACUAGAUAUAAAAAUUAUUUUUAAAAUAUAUUUAAAAAUAUUAAAAAUAGGUUAAAAACAUUUUAGAUUCUCAAAUAUCUUCUAUUUUGCAAAACAUCAUCAAACCGUUUUCUAGAAGUGUUUUAAAAAACAAUUAACCUAUGUGUCUCUUCUUUUCAAAAAUACGAACCAAUAACAUUUGGAAAACAGGUGGAAAGAUAAGCAAAGCCGAAGAAGGAUGUUACAGGGCAUACCAUAUGCUCAAAUGCACUCCUGAGGAAUGCAAAGGUUUGUGUGCAGCAUACCUUCCUGGAGGCAGCCACUGCAUGGGCGACAUCACUUGUUGCUGUGAAGGAUGAAGAGAAUGGAAAAAAAAUACAAAGCAAGAGUGCCCAUCCAAAAUAAAAGAAACAAUGAAAAUACAUCAUGUAUGAUUUUCUUGGGGCCAUUUUGUAUUGCACUUUAGUUUGAAUAAGAUUAUUAUAUACUUUCUAUGGUAGGGUUUGUGUUCUGUUCUUGCAACAAACUCUUAUAAAUAAAAUACUUCACUCCAUAAACAUCC